GGUUAAGCGACUAAGCGUACACGGUGGAUGCCCUGGCAGUCAGAGGCGAUGAAGGACGUGCUAAUCUGCGAUAAGCGUCGGUGAGGUGAUAUGAACCGUUAUAACCGGCGAUUUCCGAAUGGGGAAACCCAGUGUGUUUCGACACACUAUCAUUAACUGAAUCCAUAGGUUAAUGAGGCGAACCGGGGGAACUGAAACAUCUAAGUACCCCGAGGAAAAGAAAUCAACCGAGAUUCCCCCAGUAGCGGCGAGCGAACGGGGAGGAGCCCAGAGCCUGAAUCAGUGUGUGUGUUAGUGGAAGCGUCUGGAAAGGCGCGCGAUACAGGGUGACAGCCCCGUACACAAAAAUGCACAUAUUGUGAGCUCGAUGAGUAGGGCGGGACACGUGGUAUCCUGUCUGAAUAUGGGGGGACCAUCCUCCAAGGCUAAAUACUCCUGACUGACCGAUAGUGAACCAGUACCGUGAGGGAAAGGCGAAAAGAACCCCGGCGAGGGGAGUGAAAAAGAACCUGAAACCGUGUACGUACAAGCAGUGGGAGCCUCUUAAUGGGGUGACUGCGUACCUUUUGUAUAAUGGGUCAGCGACUUAUAUUCUGUAGCAAGGUUAACUGAAUAGGGGAGCCGAAGGGAAACCGAGUCUUAACUGGGCGUUAAGUUGCAGGGUAUAGACCCGAAACCCGGUGAUCUAGCCAUGGGCAGGUUGAAGGUUGGGUAACACUAACUGGAGGACCGAACCGACUAAUGUUGAAAAAUUAGCGGAUGACUUGUGGCUGGGGGUGAAAGGCCAAUCAAACCGGGAGAUAGCUGGUUCUCCCCGAAAGCUAUUUAGGUAGCGCCUCGUGAAUUCAUCUCCGGGGGUAGAGCACUGUUUCGGCAAGGGGGUCAUCCCGACUUACCAACCCGAUGCAAACUGCGAAUACCGGAGAAUGUUAUCACGGGAGACACACGGCGGGUGCUAACGUCCGUCGUGAAGAGGGAAACAACCCAGACCGCCAGCUAAGGUCCCAAAGUCAUGGUUAAGUGGGAAACGAUGUGGGAAGGCCCAGACAGCCAGGAUGUUGGCUUAGAAGCAGCCAUCAUUUAAAGAAAGCGUAAUAGCUCACUGGUCGAGUCGGCCUGCGCGGAAGAUGUAACGGGGCUAAACCAUGCACCGAAGCUGCGGCAGCGACACUAUGUGUUGUUGGGUAGGGGAGCG
rnacentral:rRNA from 1 species